CUACGGGGCGCUGCAGUGGGGAAUAUUGGACAAUGGGGGAAACCCUGAUCCAGCGACGCCGCGUGAGUGAAGAAGUAUUUCGGUAUGUAAAGCUCUAUCAGCAGGGAAGAAAAUGACGGUACCUGACUAAGAAGCCCCGGCUAACUACGUGCCAGCGAGCCGCGGUAAUACGUAGGGGGCAAGCGUUAUCCGGAUUUACUGGGUGUAAAGGGAGCGUAGACGGCAUAGCAAGUCCGAAGUGAAAUUCCGGGGCUCAACCCCGGAACUGCUUUGGAAACUGUUAAGCUUGAGUGUCGGAGAGGUAAGUGGAAUUCCUAGUGUAGCGGUGAAAUGCGUAGAUAUUAGGAGGAACACCAGUGGCGAAGGCGGCUUACUGGACGAUAACUGACGUUGAGGCUCGAAAGCGUGGGGAGCAAACAGGAUUAGAUACCCGAGUAGUC
rnacentral:rRNA from 1 species